UAUGCAUUGCAGUUGUGCUGCUUUAAAAAAGAAUGCAAAGUAGCUUCUGCUUUGAGCGCAUUUUGUGCACUCCACAGAGGAGCGUGUAAUUAAAACAUGAAAAACAUGUUUAGCAGCACUCUCAAAUGUCCGGAUUUGGGAGUCAGACAUGCUGUUGAUGCCAAAUGACAUGCAAUCGUAAAAAAAAAAAGAUAUGGUAGUGUUCUAGUGGCUGGGCGAACACUGAAGGAAAGCACAGAUGGGGGAAUUUAUUCCUCUGUAAUGUGGCCCAAAUCUAAUCCUCAUUUCUUCACAACUGCUCCUUUCCUCUCCUGUGUUUUUGUCUAUUGGUGCCUUUAUAUUUUAUUCCCCGAGGUUAUAUCUCUCCGCUUUCAACUGUGCCUCGUUUUUGUUUGUUUUCUUUGUUCCUAUAUUUUAAAGUCAAUUUUUCAUGUCUGCUUCUAUGUGUUGGUAUGUUUUCAUGUUUUGGUCCCUUUAUUUUCUUAUAUUUUCCUUCCUCUCGCUCUCUCUAUGUUACACUUUGAGUCAUAUACUAUGUUUGUUGCAUUUCUUUCUCUCGAAAAUUGUCAUCUUGCUCUAGUUAGUUUCAUUCUUCUUUUCAAGUUAUUUAACAUGUUUGCUUUUGUUUGACAACAAUCGCUCCCGCUGUACACGACAGUUGCGCUUGGCCGAUACCAAUGGUAUAUACUCACCUGUGGAGUUUUGCGCAAUGCAGUAAUGCUUAGAAAGCUUCACUGUGAAGGUGAUAAAGACAUCAUGUGCUGGUUCAUGAAAUAGACUUUUUGCAAGUGAACUUCAAUUUCCGACAGUAUAAACAGCCUCUUUGUUACAAUAGCUUGGCAGACAUGCUUACCUUCAAGAAACAGUGUACAUAACUCUUUGCGCAACUAAUCAUUGCGUCAGCUGUGAUGUCGUGCACAUGUAGGUGGACGGUCUAAAACACUAGGUGGGUAGCAUUUCUGGAACCCUCGGCUGCAGGUUCCCUCAAUCAUGUCGUGGUUUUGCAAUGUUUAAGCCCCUACCAAUAGUUAAGUUUAGAUGGCAUGCGAUUCAUUUUGUUGCCCAAUAUUCAGAUUUCUAGGGUGCUGCAGCCAAAAUGAUCUGGGCAAAGAAAAUAAAGACCGCUCACAAUUGUGCUGAAAUAAAGUAGAAAAUUUAUCAGCGAUACAGUAUGCACAAUACAUUCUUACAGCAAGGGUUUUGUUUUCAGGUGUCCUUGUUGAGAAACGAUUUAAGAACCUGCGUGAUAUCUUCAAAAAGAAACAACACGACAUACGUGAAAAAACAAAGAAGUGGAGCCGGAGCAGCCGACAUUCCAACAAUAAAAUGGCCCCAUUUUGAGGCCAUGCUUGAAUUAAUGGAAGGAGAGUCUGAGCCUGUGGCGUAAGUUCAAUAUUAGCUGACUAUUGAGUACUAAACAAAAAAAAAGUUGAUUUAAUUCACAUGACUGUUAUACAUACACAUAAAUACUCACAUAUCAAUACACAUAAGUACACUGCACAUAAACAUAGAAGUCCCAAGAGGUAAUUCACAGUGGGCAUGCAUGUGAUCAUGAACAUGAUGGCAAUGGGCUGUUUUGAUGUCGAAUAACUGUGGCUACAGCUACGAAGAAUAACUCAGUGCAUCAUUCUUUCUGGAUACUGUGCAACAUGAGUGCCAUUGACCAAAGCAGCCACAUCACAGCAGAAGAGGCUAACGAGAGAUCACCGCCUCGGCCAAGACAUGCAGCGGAACCGGAACGUACCCCUGAUACGGCUGAGGAGACUCGUGUCGACACCUGCAGCAAUGA